rnacentral:tRNA from 1 species
AAAAAGUUAAGCUAAUUAAGCUUUUGGGUUCAUACCCCAACUAUAAAGGCCACCCCCUUUCCUUUUUA